GAUGAACGCUGGCGGCGUGCCUAACACAUGCAAGUCGAACGGCAACACAGUGAGCUUGUGCUCUUACGGGUAGCGGCGGGCGGGUGAGUGACGCGUGCAUCAGCUUCUUCUUUUUCGUGGAGGAUAACGGAGAGAGACUUACGAUAACACAGCAUACCUUCUACCAUAGAAAGCAGGGGAUCAUCAGGCCUUUUGCGAUUGAACUAGCCGAUUCCGGAUUUGCUAGUUGGCGGGGUAAAGGCCCACCAAGGCGAGGGUCCGUAGCUGGUCUGAGAGGGUGGUCAGCCACACUGGAACUGAGACACGGUCCAGACUCCUACGGGAGGCAGCAGAGGGGAAUUUUGGACAAUGGGGGAAAGCCUGACGCAGCAAGCCCGCGUGGGUGAGGAAGGCCUUCGGUUUGUAAAGCCCUUUUGUUGGGAAAGAAAAGCAGGAGAUUGAAACGCGGAUGUAGUGACGGUACCCAAAGAAUAAGCACCGGCUAACUACGUG
rnacentral:rRNA from 1 species